UUAAGCUAGAAAGAGCGCAGGGUGGAUGCCUUGGCACUAAGAGCCGAUGAAAGACGUGAUAAGCUGCGAAAAGCUUCGGGGAGGAGCAAAUAUCCGAUGAUCCGGAGAUAUCUGAAUGGGGAAACCCGGCUGGACAGACUCCAGUCAUCCAUACGCCAAUCCAUAACGUAUGGAGGGGAACCCGGGGAACUGAAACAUCUAAGUACCCGGAGGAGAGGAAAUCAAUCUCGAGACUCCCCGAGUAGCGGCGAGCGAAAGGGGACCGAUGGCCAAACCGUCGAGCGGGCAUACCCGGCAGGGGUUCCGCCGACGGGGUUGCAGGGCCGCGCAUCCGGGGGCUGCCGCCCCCGGGCGCAGGUCCGGCUGGGGAGCGGAACGGCAUGGGAGGGCCGGCCGCAGCGGGUGACAGCCCCGUACGCGAACCCAGACCGGACGGCGCGACGCGGUCCCUGAGUAGGGCCGGGCACGUGAAACCCGGUCCGAACCUGGGUGGACCACCAUCCAAGCCUGAGUACUACCCUGUGACCGAUAGCGCACCAGUACCGUGAGGGAAAGGUGAAAAGCACCCCGGGAGGGGAGUGAAACAGUACCUGAAACCGUGCGCCCACGAGCAGUCGGAGCACCUAUAUGGUGUGACGGCGUGCCUUUUGUAGAAUGAGCCAGCGAGUCGCUGGCGCGGGGCGAGGUUAACCGAAAGGGAGCCGGAGCGAAAGCGAGCCUUAACAGGGCGACUUGAGUCCCGCGCCGCGGACGCGAAGCCGGGUGAGCUAUCCGUGGGCAGGCUGAAGCGGGGGUAAGACCCCGUGGAGGGCCGAACGCACGUCGGUUGAAAACGGCGGCGAUGACCUGCGGAUAGGGGUGAAAGGCCAAUCAAACCCGGAGAUAUCUCGUUCUCCCCGAAAUAGCUUUAGGGCUAGCGUCGCGCGUUCACCGCCGGAGGUAGAGCACCGGAUGGACGAGGGGGCUUCGCCGCCUACCGAAUCCAACCGAACUCCGAAUGCCGGCGGCCCAGAGCGCGGCAGUCAGAGCAUGUGGGCUAAGCUGUGUGCUCGAGAGGGAAACAGCCCGGACCGCCCGCUAAGGUCCCCAAGUUCCAGCCGAGUGGCAAAGGAUGUGCGUCCGCCCAGACAACCAGGAUGUUGGCUUAGAAGCAGCCAUCCAUUCAAAGAGUGCGUAACAGCUCACUGGUCGAGUGGACAUGCGCCGACAAUACACGGGGCUAAGCUGGACACCGAAGCGGCGGGAUUUUGAUUUUCAGAAUCGGUAGGGGAGCUUCCCAUGGGCGGGGAAGCCGCCGGGCGACCGGCGGUGGAGCGCAUGGGAGUGAGAAUGCUGGCAUGAGUAGCGAGAGACGAGAGAGUAACUCGUCCGCCGUGAACCCGAGGUUUCCUGGGCAAGGCUAAUCCUCCCAGGGUCAGUCGGGGGCUAAGGCGAGGCCGGGAGGCGUAGCCGACGCGCAGCAGGCAGACAUUCCUGCACCGCGCACGCGGCGCUACGACCGACGGGGCGACGGAUGGGGGUGGCUCGGCGGGGUUCUGGACGUCCCCGUGAUGGAGCGCGGCCCGCGGACCAGGGAAAUCCGGUCCGCACGAGGGCGAGGCUCCGGACGAAGCGAUCAAGCGAAGCGAGUGAGCCCGAGGUCCCUAGAAAAACCCCUAGGCAGGCGCGUGCGCGCCCGUACCGCAAACCGACACAGGUGGGUGGGUAGAACAUACCGAGGCGAUCGGGUCAACCAUGGUCAAGGAACUCGGCACAAUGGCCCCGUAACUUCGGGAGAAGGGGUGCCCGCGCGUACGUGAACCGGCUUGCCCGGGGAGCGGAGGCGGGCCGCAGUGGAGAGGCCCAAGCGACUGUUUACCAAAAACACAGGACUCUGCAGAAGCCGCAAGGCGACGUAUAGGGUCUGACGCCUGCCCGGUGCCGGAAGGUCACGCGGAGGAGUUAGCGCAUCGCGCGAAGCCCCGAAGCCAAGCCCCGGUAAACGGCGGCCGUAACUAUAACGGUCCUAAGGUAGCGAAAUUCCUUGUCGGGUAAGUUCCGACCUGC
rnacentral:rRNA from 1 species